rnacentral:miRNA from 1 species
GUGGAUAUUGCUGUACUUCUCCUAUUCCCUGAGACCCUAACUUGUGAGCUCUUUCAAUUAAAAUCACGGGUUAGGCUCUUGGGACCUGGGCGGAGGGCACAAGCGGC